rnacentral:lncRNA from 1 species
AGUAUUUGUAAGACCCAUAUUUCACUAAAAUGCACCACUAUCUCUCUCAACUUAUUCUUACGCUUGAUAUUGUAAUAUUACUUAAUUAUAUAUUAUUCUUAUACAAAAAAAAUUGUAUAUUAUUUAACAAUUGAUAUAGACACUAACUUAGAGUAUUUUAUAUAUUAUUGCUUUGAAAUGAUUUUACUUUCUUUUAUUGUCAUGUCAAUUAUUUUUGGACCAUUUUUCCUAACAUUAAUAAUCCUCAUGUGAAAAAACAAACACACCAGGCUCUAUGCCUUCUCACUCUUAAAUGUUAUUCAAUGACCAAACAUUUGAUCCUUUUGUAUUAAAAAACUUAACUUGAAUUGAAAGUUGUUCUGACAUAAGGAAAGAUAUAAGCAUUACAUUUCUUGACACUAUUAAUAAUAUUAGGUGAAAGUCAUGUGAGCCUUCACUAAAUAUGUGAGUUCCAAUGCCAGAUUAGCAUAACUGUUUUUGAAAAAUGUUCUUUAGUUUAUCAUUGCAUGAAAGUAUCAACUAAUAAGACAGAGUGUUUUGGAAAUAAAGUGUCAAGAAAGUCUGUUACUUGUCACAAAUGAGAUUAAAUGAAAAUGAAAACAACAUUUAUUCUCACUCACCCUUUAACUUGAAUUAAUCAUUUAGUGGUGUCAUAGAUAUAUAAAUAACCAUCAUAUUGGGUGUUAGAAAAAUUCAACUUUAAUCACAUUAUGUGAUCCUAACUUAGCUCAUUGAAUAUUGUUGAACAUAACAACAGCAAGAAAGGCAAUGACAUUGCUAUUGUCAUACUUGAUAUUCACAAAACCCAUCGGAGUGGACUUUUACUCAUUGCUAUGGGAAUUACAUUGAAGAUGUUGCCAAAUAGCAAAUUCAACCGUAACAAUAGGGUCUUAAAUUAUUCUCCAAGGGAACUUAGGGCAAAAUCCACAGGAGAUGAAGAGUUGGGCUGCCAAAUUCUGCAGGGGAAAAUGAUGAAAGGAGGCCCUUGAUAUAGCUUAUUGUCUUCUAAAUGAAAGUAUUUUUUUUUAAGACAUUAUUUUUAAAUUCACAAUUUCUUUGUUAUUUUCAUGUCAUGUGAAAGGAAAAAGAAAAUAAUUUGAUGUAUACAGGAUAAUUUCUUUGUUAUUGUAAGUUUGCUAGUCUUUUGAUAUAUGAUAAGAUAUAUACAUGAUAGUGCCAUCAUUUUAUUUGUGCUAAACAUUUAUACCUGCCAUGAUAUUUCACAUAAGAAUUAUCGGUUUUGACCACCUGAAUAAUGUAGAUAUCUACUUCCCUUCUUUGAUAUAAUUAGAUAGUAGCAUUCAAGUAAGUUAUAAGAUAACAAUAUAUAGUAUGCUAGGAACAUUAGGAUGCAAAUAUGUAUUAAUUUGGCAAUUCUGUGUAAGUUUUAUCAAAUAUAUAAAACUUCUAGUUAUUGGAUGCAGAUAUGGAAUUACUUAAUUUUUUUUAUAAAACUAUAAAGUUAUAUACGGAUUUUUCCGUAUGUAAUUUAUAUAUGGAUUUUACAUUCGGAUUUUUUUGUAUAUAAUUAUAAACGGAUAUUACAUAAGGAUUAUCCGUAUGUAAUUUAUAUACAAAUUAUUUGUAUGUAAUUUAUAUACGGAUUAUCCGUAUAUAACCUUAUCUACACCCUUAUUAUAUAUGGAUUUUUGGUCGUAUGUAAUCCGUAUAUAACACCACUUUAUAUAUGGAUUUUGAAGGUUAUAUACGGAUUUUGGUUGUAUAUAACAGUGAUUUUUCUUGUAGUGAAUGUGUCAAAAAACGGUGUCAACAAAGCGUUUUCUAUUCAUAUUUCCGUUAUAAUAUGUUUUGAAAUUAUUUAUAAGUUUGCCACUGCAUGAUAUAUUAUGACUUAUUUCCAUAACUAUGUUAUAAUAUAUGUUAAGUUUAUUACAAUUUUGCCACCAGUCAACACUAGUGCAAAAUAUACAUUUUAUACCGGUUAUUUAUACCUUUUAAAAUUUAGUAGGUAUAAAAAGUAAUACAGUGGUAGUUUCGUAAAUAUAAGAAACUUUUUUACACCUAUUACAAUAAAAAAGAGAUAUAAAAAACUUUGUUAUACCUAUUAAUAUUAGAGGAGGUAUAAAUUAUUGAUUUACAUCUCUUAAAUAUUAUAAGAGGUAUAGAUUAUUUUACCAAUUCAGUUUCUUUUUCCCGGGAUACUUUUUUUUUUUGCGCAAAACUUCAUCUCCAUUGCCAAUCGGUUCAGUCGUGUUGAGGUGGUUGGGUAGAGCUCUUCUUCCCAUUUCAAGUUGUUUGCCUUUCUCAUUCACUAUAACUUUCGUACAUUUCUCAGAAUCAGAAGCAGCAUUUCUCACUGUCUUCGUACAUCAAAGAGUAUUUCAGCGUCGUCUUCCUCACUUUCAG